rnacentral:lncRNA from 1 species
GCUGGAGUCCGAUUGCUAGAGAAGUCCGUCUGAAAUUUGUCUGAUGUAGAAGCUUGUCUGAAGACUGUCUGCUGGAGAGGUCCGGUUGCAUGAGAAAUCCGACAGAAGGUCGACCGAUAGCGAAAUUCGAAAGGCGCUAUAGAAGGUUGUCCGAUAGAAGAGUCCGGAAGGCGUUGUGGAAGUUCGUCCGCUGGAGGAGUCUAGAGGA